AGCUGCGCAGUGGGCACAGAGCGAACUAUUCUUUCGCCUUUUACUAAAGAAUACCGUGUGCUCGCUGCAAAUAGCAGCAUACUCUAAUUUUUUGAGGGGAUUUUCUAUAUAAGGAGAAC
rfam:Oryza glaberrima chromosome 4 Oglab04_0324_1, whole genome shotgun sequence.